rnacentral:rRNA from 1 species
GACGAACGCUGGCGGCGUGCUUAACACAUGCAAGUCGAACGGAAAGGCCCUGCUUUUGUGGGGUGCUCGAGUGGCGAACGGGUGAGUAAUACGUGAGUAACCUGCCCUUGACUUUGGGAUAACUUCAGGAAACUGGGGCUAAUACCGGAUAGGAGCUCCUGCUGCAUGGUGGGGGUUGGAAAGUUUCGGCGGUUGGGGAUGGACUCGCGGCUUAUCAGCUUGUUGGUGGGGUAGUGGCUUACCAAGGCUUUGACGGGUAGCCGGCCUGAGAGGGUGACCGGCCACAUUGGGACUGAGAUACGGCCCAGACUCCUACGGGAGGCAGCAGUGGGGAAUAUUGCACAAUGGGCGGAAGCCUGAUGCAGCAACGCCGCGUGCGGGAUGACGGCCUUCGGGUUGUAAACCGCUUUCGCCUGUGACGAAGCGUGAGUGACGGUAAUGGGUAAAGAAGCACCGGCUAACUACGUG